UUCGACGGGUGAUAUUUUUAUAAUUGGAAUAAGCGAGUACUGCGAGUAGUUUGACGUGUGGAUUUCCAAUUUCUUGUUCCGGAAAUCCCUGACUUGAAUAAAGUGAGAAUGACUUUCCUUUAUGUGUCUAGAGUUGCAGUAGCUAGAAUAAUGAACGGUGAUACCUUAGUAGUCGUUGGACUUAUUUAUGCUUUAUAUUUUAUUAUAACGCUUAAACUCUGAUAAUAUGUAAUAUGUGAAUGCUGUGCGAAA